AGAUGGUUCUUCCCUUCUAACUUAAUAGGCACUUACGGGCCACUUUCCUGGGAAAAGUCCUGUAAGAUCAGGCUAUAAAUCACCAAAACUCAGCAGCCUACAGAGUUGCUCUUCUAACAAGUGAUGUCAACUGCGAAUAAGCAAAGAGUUUCAGAGGUUGCCAGAUUGUCACAGAUGACUUUUGAGAGCCCAGUUUCAUUCCCAAGGCUGCUAUCAGUAAGCCUUGCUGCCGGCCCUCGGGUUUUGCUUUGUGGACUGUGGCUCUGUUAGCUUUCCUCCCCGACCAAGACUCUUUGGAUGGCAUUCUGAUAUUCAACGGAAUAGAAAGACAAAAACCAAAAAACCCUGUGUCAGCCUGCGACUGCCGGUGAACUCUACUCAGCUAGCACAUGAGCAUGCUGCAGCCAGCUCCGAGCCCUAACCUAGAGAGCCGUGGCCACGCCACGCACCAGAGCACAGGGAGGUGCAGGAGAGUGAUGAAGCACUUCUUCACAAGGCCGAUUUAACACACAAAUUCUCUCUUCCUUUUAUAACAGGGCUCUAUAUUUAAGCUUCUGAAAACUUAAGAGUCUGCAGAGGAAAUCAGUCUGUGCUACCAUACAAAGCAUGCAGCAUCUCUCCUUGGGAGUCCUUUUU
ensembl:antisense Chn1os1 chimerin 1, opposite strand 1